CGAGGGGCAGCAUGNNUUAGCUUGCUAAGUUUGAUGGCGACCGGCGCACGGGUGAGUAACACGUAUCCAACCUGCCGAUGACUCGGGGAUAGCCUUUCGAAAGAAAGAUUAAUACCCGAUGGCAUAGUUCUUCCGCAUGGUAGAACUAUUAAAGAAUUUCGGUCAUCGAUGGGGAUGCGUUCCAUUAGGUUGUUGGCGGGGUAACGGCCCACCAAGCCUUCGAUGGAUAGGGGUUCUGAGAGGAAGGUCCCCCACAUUGGAACUGAGACACGGUCCAAACUCCUACGGGAGGCAGCAGUGAGGAAUAUUGGUCAAUGGACGAGAGUCUGAACCAGCCAAGUAGCGUGAAGGAUGACUGCCCUAUGGGUUGUAAACUUCUUUUAUAUGGGAAUAAAGUUUUCCACGUGUGGAAUUUUGUAUGUACCAUAUGAAUAAGGAUCGGCUAACUCCGUGCCAGCAGCCGCGGUAAUACGGAGGAUCCGAGCGUUAUCCGGAUUUAUUGGGUUUAAAGGGAGCGUAGGUGGACAGUUAAGUCAGUUGUGAAAGUUUGCGGCUCAACCGUAAAAUUGCAGUUGAUACUGGCUGUCUUGAGUACAGUAGANGUGGGCGGAAUUCGUGGUGUAGCGGUGAAAUGCUUAGAUAUCACGAAGAACUCCGAUUGCGAANGCAGCUCACUGGACUGCAACUGACACUGAUGCUCGAAAGUGUGGGUAU
rnacentral:rRNA from 1 species